rnacentral:sRNA from 1 species
CGCCCGUCACACCAGGAGAGUUGGUAAUACCAGAAGUAGGUAGCUUAACCGUAAGGAGAGCGCUUCCCAAGGUAGGAUUAGCGAUCGGGGUGAAGUCGUAACAAGGUAUCCGUACGGGAACGUGCGGAUGGAUCACCUCCUUUCUAUGGAGUAAAAUUUAAAAAGCAGAGUGAAACUGCUUUGACUGUUUCUGUUCUAUUUAGUUUUCAGAGGUUAUUAAUUUAACUUCUGAAAAGAUUGUUCUUUGAAAACUGAAUAUUAGAUGAAAAAUCAAUUUUCCUUGUCGUUUUAUUACGGCAAGAAAAAGUGAAGAAUUUUUAUAUAUGAAUUUAUUCAUAUACUUCAAAUUCGACAUCAGUUAUAAAAAACUAAAAUUAUGUUAUAAAUUGCAAAUAGAUUUUUUCUAAAAAAUAGUAAGGGCAUAUGGUGAAUGCCUUGGAAAAUGGAGCCGAAGAAGGACGUGACUACCUGCGAAAAGCAUCGGGGAGCUGGAAGUGAGCUUAGAUCCGGUGAUGUCCGAAUGGGGAAACCUAGUACGAUUAAUCUCGUAUUGUCCACAACUGAAUACAUAGGUUGUGAGUCGGGAACCUUGGGAACUGAAACAUCUUAGUACCAAGAGGAAAAUAAAAUAAAUAAUGAUUCUGUUAGUAGCGGCGAGCGAACGCGGAACAGGCCAAACCAGUCUACGGGCCGGGGUUGUAGGACUUCUGUUAGAGUUACAAAGUCGAUGUAUAGUAGAAGCUACUGGGAAGUAGCGCCACAGAGGGUGAUAGCCCCGUAUACGAAAUGCAUCGACCUCGAGGAAGUAUCCUGAGUACGGCGAAACACGUGAAAUUUUGUCGGAAUCUGCCGGGACCACCCGGUAAGCCUAAAUACUCCCAUUUUACCGAUAGUGAACCA